GGUCUUGUGGUCUAGUGGUAUGAUUCUCGCUUAGGGUAACCUAGGCUCUAUACAUACAAGGUCGUAUGUAUGAUUUGCGAGAGGCCCCGCGUUCGAGUCGCGGCAAGACCC